rnacentral:misc_RNA from 1 species
AACGCACAUUGCGCCCGCCAGUAUUCUGGCGGGCAUGCCUGUUCGAGCGUCAUUUCAACCCUCAAGCUCCGCUUGGCGUUGGGGAUCGGCAUCCCGGCCUUCGCGCCGGCGCCGUCCUCCAAAUACAGUGGCGGUCACGCUGCAGCUUCCUUUGCGUAGUAGCACACCUCGCACCGGAGAGCAGCGCGGCCACGCCGUAAAACCCACGACUUCUUGUUUUUGACCUCGAAUAAGGUAGGACUACCCGCUGAACUUAA